AUGGAUUUGAUGUCUGUGGAGAAAGAAGGUUUAUACCAGAAAGGUCUCUUCCCUGAAAGAGGCACUCCCAUCAACCUAGAACCUAAAGAUCCUUGUCGGUGUCAGCCAUACUUUCCAGACAUGGACAGCAGUGCUGUGGGGAAGGGAAAAAACUGUCAUGUGCCUGAUGGUCACACUAAAGAAAACCCUGUCUUGGACAAGGAGCAUGGUUUACAUGACGCAUUCCCUGACCAGCAGAAUGGCUGUGUCGAAUACAACUGGGACCAGUCAUCCUCUUGUCCUAAGUGGGAAUGUACAGAGCAAAUUCAUGAAAUCCCUUUAAUGGGACAUCCUUCUAGUGACAAGGUCUCUCCGGAAACUGAAAGAGCACUUAUGGCGCUGGGGCAGGAAAGCGGGACAAGUGUUGUCAGCGACGACAGAGUGAAACUGCCAGUGUCUGGAGCAGACAAAUCUGUGAGUAGUGUAGACGGGCCUGUGUCUGAGGAGCCUGCCCAGAAUGAGAACUUCCAGAUGGAGGAGGAUGGGUCUCUGAAGCAGAGCAUUCUUAGUUCAAAGCUGUUGGACCACCCUUACUGUAAAAGUCCACUGGAUGCUCCCUUGCUGUGCAGUGAACCCAAAGUAGAAAACCAAAUGUCAGGUGGCAAGAGCAGCCAGACAGCGUCUCCAGUGGAUGAUGAGCAGCUCUCAACCUGCAUUUCUGGAUUCCUAGAUGAGGUUAUGAAAAAGUAUGGAAGACUGGUCCCACUCAGUGAAAAAGAUGUCCUUGGGAGAUUAAAAGAUGUCUUUAAUGAAGACUUUUCUAAUAGAAAACCAUUUAUCAAUAGGGAAAUAACAAACUACCGGGCCAGACAUCAAAAGUGUAACUUCCGCAUCUUCUACAAUAAGCACAUGCUGGAUAUGGAUGAUCUGGCAACUUUGGACUGUCAGAACUGGUUGAAUGACCAGGUUAUUAAUAUGUAUGGCGAGCUGAUAAUGGAUGCAGUCCCAGACAAGGUCCACUUCUUCAACAGCUUUUUCCAUAGACAGCUGGUAACCAAAGGCUAUAAUGGAGUUAAAAGAUGGACGAAGAAGGUGGACUUGUUUAAAAAGAGUCUUCUGUUGAUUCCCAUCCACCUGGAGGUCCACUGGUCUCUCAUUACUGUGACACUCUCCAGCCGGUUUAUUUCCUUUUAUGAUUCCCAAGGCAUUCAUUUUAAAUUCUGUGUAGAGAAUAUAAGAAAGUAUUUGCUGACUGAAGCCAGAGAAAAAAAAUAGGCCUGAAUUUCUUCAGGGUUGGCAGACUGCUGUUUCAAAGUGUAUUCCACAACAGAAAAAUGACAGUGACUGUGGAGUCUUUGUGCUCCAGUACUGCAAGUGCCUCGCCCUAGAGCAGCCUUUCCAGUUUUCUCAAGAAGACAUGCCUCGUGUGCAGAAGAGGAUCUAUAAGGAGCUGUGUGAGUGCCGGCUCCUGGACUGA